rfam:Tupaia chinensis contig93038, whole genome shotgun sequence.
GGGCUCGCUUCGGCAGCACAUAUUACUAAAGUCGGAAUGGUACAGAGGUCGGCAUGGCCCUGUGCAAGGAUGACAUGCAAUCUGUGAAGCGUUCUAUGUUUUU